rnacentral:rRNA from 1 species
UACCUGCAGCUCGAGUGGUAACCGCUAUUAUUGGGCCUAAAGCGUCCGUAGCCGGUUUGGUAAAUAUCUGGGUAAAUCGUGAGGCUUAACUUCACGAAUUUCGGAUAGACUGCCAGACUUGGGAUCGGGGGAGGUCAGAGGUACUCCAGGGGUAGCGGUGAAAUGUUGUAAUCCUUGGAGGACCACCGGUAGCGAAGGCGUCUGACUAGAACGAGUCCGACGGUGAGGGACGAAGCCCUGGGGCGCAAACCGGAUUAGAUACCCGGGUAGUCCAGGGUGUAAACGAUGUGGGCUUUGUAUUGGAGGUCCCACGUGGGCGUCCAGUGCAGAAGAGAAGUUGUUAAGCCCACCGCCUGGGAAGUACGGUCGCAAGGCUGAAACUUAAGGAAUUGGCGGGGGAGCACAGCAACGGGAGGAGCGUGCGGUUU